AUGCUCAAUUCAUUAGCACAAACACUAAAAUUGAAUGACAUAGAGAUUAGCAUGAACCCAGGACAAGGAUGACACGCAAAUUUGUACAACAUUCCCUAUUUUU